rnacentral:rRNA from 1 species
CCUACGGGGGGCAGCAGUGAGGAAUAUUGGUCAAUGGGCGGGAGCCUGAACCAGCCAAGUCGCGUGAGGGAAGACGGUCCUAUGGAUUGUAAACCUCUUUUGUCGGGGAGCAAAGAGAUCACGUGUGGUCAAAAGCGAGAGUACCCGAAGAAAAAGCAUCGGCUAACUCCGUGCCAGCAGCCGCGGUAAUACGGAGGAUGCGAGCGUUAUCCGGAUUUAUUGGGUUUAAAGGGUGCGUAGGCGGUCCGUUAAGUCAGCGGUAAAAUUGCGGGGCUCAACCCCGUCGAGCCGUUGAAACUGGCAGA